UACGGAAGGCAGCAGUGGGGAAUAUUGCACAAUGGGCGCAAGCCUGAUGCAGCCAUGCCGCGUGUAUGAAAAAGGCCUUCGGGUUGUAAAGUACUUUCAGUCGUGAGGAAGGUGUUAAGGUUAAUAACCUUAGCAAUUGACGUUAGCGACAGAAGAAGCACCGGCUAACUCCGUGCCAGCAGCCGCGGUAAUACGGGGGUGCGAGCGUUAAUCGGAAUUACUGGGCGUAAAGGGCACGCAGGCGGUUAAUUAAGUUGGAUGUGAAAUCCCCGGGCUUAACCUGGGAAUGGCAUUCAAGACUGGUUAGCUAGAGUCUUGUAGAGGGGGUAGAAUUCCAUGUGUAGCGGUGAAAUGCGUAGAGAUGUGGAGGAAUACCGGUGGCGAAGGCGGCCCCUGGACAAAGACUGACGCUCAUGUGCGAAAGCGUGGGGAGCAAACAGGGAUUAGAUACC
rnacentral:rRNA from 1 species